CAUUUUAGAUGCCUCCUGGCCUCCCCUUCCCAGGAGCACAGCUAUGACCUUAGGUACUCCUUCCGAAAAGAACUUGUUUAACUAAAGGCAAGUGUACCUCAUCCUCACCAUGGCCUCCUUCCACCGGGGAAGCAGAUAGCGCAGAAAAAAGAACACACCCAUUCCCCACAUACCUUCACACUCGUCACAUACCUGCUACGUGAGAUGUGCAAAGCUGAAUGCAGGGAAUGCUCAGUGGUUACAUAACAGUGCCACUAAAGGCAAUUGUUUUCAGUGAUUUCCAUCGAGCUGGGUUCUGCAAAGACCCACAGCACUUUCCGGUUGCAUGCUGGGCACUUUUGGAAGCUGCAGUCAAUUCUGGAGGCCACCAGGGCACCAUUAGCACAUAGCAGCAAUUAUUGACUAAAUGGUGCUCUGGUUCCAUGCCUUCCAAGGGGGCCCACUUAGAGGCAGGGUGGAGUUGCUUAGGGCCUUUUUUUUUUUUUUUUUUGUAGACGGAGUUUUGCUCUUGUUGCCCAAGCUGGAGUGCAAUGGUGCGAUCUUCGCUUACUGCAACCUCUGCUUCCUGGGUUCAAGUGAUUCCCCUGCCUCAGCCUCCCGAGUAGCAGGGAUUACAGGUGCGUGCUACCAUGCCAGGCUAAUUUUUUGUAUCUUUAGUAGAGACAGGAGUUUCACCAUGUUGGCCAGGCUAGUCUUAAACUCCUGACCUCAUGAUCUGCCUGGCUUGACCUCCCAAAGUGUUGGGAUUACAGGCGUGAGCCAUUGCACCUGGCCAGGGUGUGUCUUAUUGAAAUUGAACAAAAUACCUAACUUCUAGAGAGUAUAAGAGAAGUUUAAAAUGCUUUAUGGAUGUGUUGUUUUGACAGCAAAAUAUCUACUCAGAAUCCUAUAGCUAUUUCAAAAUCCAAGUAACUUAGAAAAAAAGGAAAAAGAAAACCUAUAUAGUCAAAUCUUUUGGUGAUUUUGUAUUCAAUGACUGAAACUUCCCAGUGAUUAUUGGGCUUUUUAGCUGGAAUUGAACUUGAAUCGGGGCAGAGCAGCACAAUGCUUCAGAACUUCAGCAACUCUGAGCCCUGGUUCUGCAAUGACCUGCCAAGUAGCUUUAGUCUACUUGACUGCUCUGAACCUUAAUUUUCUCACCUGUAUGGGAAUCAUAGACUCUACUUUAUGAGGCUGACGUAAGCAUUACAUGAAAUUUUGUAUACUUAUACCUAAUGUGCUUAGCACAGAAUACUUGGUGACAGCAGAUGCCCAAUGAGAGUUAUCAUAGAUAUUAUUUCAGAAUCAUGUGAAGAGUCAGAAGCCACCAAAUUCUUGAUUUCUGUCAAUAAACUGAUAUUCAUAUUCUGUUGAGUUUUUUUUGAUGCAUUUGUAAAAUAGGGAAACAAGAGCUGUAUGACUUCUAGCUAUGUCUGGUCAUGAAAUAGCAACCAGGAAUAAGGCCACAUGAUGUUUCUGAUGAACACUUCCCCCUGCCCUUUUUUUUUUUUCAGAUGGAGCCUCGCUCUGUCACCCAGGCUGGAGUGCAGUGGCACAAUCUCGGGUCACUGCAACCUCCGCCCCCCAGGUUCAAGCGAUUCUCCUGUCUCAGCCUCCCGAGUAGCUAGGAUUACAGGUGCACGCCACCAGGCCUGGCUAAUUUUUAUAUUUUUAGUAGAGAUGGGAUUUUGCCAUGUUGGCCAGGCUGGUCUCAAACUCCUGACCUCAGGUGACCCGUCCACCUUGGCCUCCCAAAGUGCUGGGACUACAGGUGUGAGCCACCAUGCCUGGUCCCCCACUUGUUGAUUUUGCAGAAAAGAUAGCUGUGUUACAACCUGUCCUAAGGUCAGGUAUGAAUACUUGUGCUUCUUUCUUGGCUCCCCAAGCCAGAGGGCAUUCCUAUGCCCAGGUGAGAGAGCACGGAGUGUUACUUUGGCAGCACAGUCAGUUACCAGAGGUAGGAAAAGCAAAGGCCAGGCAGGACAUGAAGGGCCCUUGCACUGGCUGGUUCUCCCUGCCUUCACCACCCUCCAGGUGAAUGACUGGGUGAAUAAUGAUUGACUGAGGAGGUAAUGAAUAAUUUAUGGACACUGCUGGACCUCAGUCUCCUCAUCUGAAAGAUGAGUGGUUGGAGAAGUUUAAUGGUUUUCAAAUGCUUUUUUUUUCAGUCUUCAAAUAAGUGUUUACGUAGAAGCACCAUAUCUGAAACAGGUGACAGUGGACCAGUCUGAAUGAAAUGAGGGUUGGCAGGCCUGAGCUCCAAAACCUUCUGAUUGCCCAAGCCCUCCUUGUCUUGCUUGGAUUAUCUCCACACAAAUGGAGAAACUGGACAAGGUGGUCAUGGAGGUCCCCGAAAGCUCAAAGACUCUCUCAUUCCAGGAUUCCCCAUGUUCAUAUGCCAGCAUGGCAUGGGGGUGCUCUGUAGUCAAGCAGGGUCCUUUGGGGGGCUUAGGGAUGGAGCCAGGAAAUGGCUCUGGGACUCAGCGGGUGUCCAGAGUCUCAUCAGCAGGGUUUCUUUACUUUCACUGAGUGGCUGGUGCCUGCGCACUGAGUUUUGUAGGCUUACUCUCACAGAGUGAGCUUCCUGCAGGCCCCCCACUGCAACCCCUUUCCUUCCUGGAGCUGUGUGCUGACUGGUGCGUGAGCACCCAGGCCCUCUCCCCAUGCUGCUGAUGGUCAGCUUUCUCUGCACGCUCGUGGUUGCCACAGUCAACGCUGAUAAAAUUGCUGAUGCAAAUUGCCUGCCCAGCUGCGAGUGCUGGCAUGGGACCAGCAGCCCAGACGGUCACUGGAAGUGGUUGGGCUGAUUAUUGGCAUCAUCUCCAUUGUCCUACUCAGUUCUUAAAGGCAUAUGGGCUUGCCUCACUCCUACAGCAAAUGACGGCAUGGGCAAAGAGGGGCAACAGACCCACCCUGAAGACACUCCUCAUCUGGUUGACUUGGGCAGGGUUAAGGGAAAAAGAUGUGAUGACUAGGAGCUGAGAGCUUAGUGGUUCUGCCAGAGCUGCAGAGUCUUUGUUGGCCUCGGGGUGGGACCUCUCACAUCUCUGUCAGCUUUUCACAGACACCAACCUGUUAUGAUUCAUUUCACCUGUCCUGAGCACUAGCAAGAAAAAUUCGCUGUAGCUUGUGAUGUAUUAUUCUGGAUUUCUCAACUCAUUCAUUUGUUCAUUCAUUCACUAUACCAUUACUGUCUAUUAUAAGGGGGGCACAAUGGUAGGUGCUGGGAAUAAAAACGAUGUUUAAUGUUU
rnacentral:sRNA from 1 species